ACAAACUUGGUCAUUUAGAGGAAGUAAAAGUCGUAACAAGGUUUCCGUAGGUGAACCUGCGGAAGGAUCAUUACCAAGGACCCGUGCCUACCCGGCCGGAUUCUCACACCAUUGUGUACCAAACUUUUCGUUGCCUCGGCGGGCUGGGUUGCCAGCUUUCGCUCGGUGGACCCCCCUCUCGCGGGGAGCCGCCCGCCGCAGGAUUUUUCAAACCAAUUCGUUGACGAACGUCUGAUUUUAUUUUUGCAAAUGCAAUAAAUACAACUUUCAACAAUGGAUCUCUUGGCUCCGGCAUCGAUGAAGAACGCAGC
rnacentral:misc_RNA from 1 species